GUCAUAUUGCUGACUUGGAACAGACAUUUCUAAAUGUGGAAAAUGGUGUAUUAAAUCUGAGUUUAUAAUUAGUUAAACCUGUCACUUGUAUGACAUUAAUGUUCUCCCUUUGAAAACAAUAACAUUUAAUUAUAUACAUGUAAAAGUAUUGAGUUCAAAAACAAAUGAAAACAACACAUUAUAAAUGUCAUGCGCACGAAGC
rnacentral:lncRNA from 1 species